rnacentral:rRNA from 1 species
CGUGUAGGCGGUCGAGUAGGUGAGAUGUGAAAUGCUCCGGCUUACCCGGAGACCGGCAUCUCAAACCGCUCGGCUUGAGUACGGGAGAGGGUGUGGGAAUUCCUGGUGUAGCGGUGAAAUGCGUAGAUAUCAGGAGGAACACCGGUGGCGAAGGCGCACACCUGGCCCGAUACUGACGCUGAGGCGCGAAAGCUAGGGGAGCAAACGGGAUUAGAUACCCCGGUAGUCCUAGCCGUAAACGGUGAUCACUAGGUGUUGGAGGCAUCGACCCCUCCAGUGCCGCAGCUAACGCAUUAAGUGAUCCGCCUGGGGAGUACGGCCGCAAGGUUGAA